UUCACUCCAUAAUACAAGGUGUAGCCCUAUACAAUUCCCCUUCACACAUAGGCAGUUCUCUGAUCUGAUUUCCGAAAGCCACUAUUUAUGCCCAUAAUGCAUAGGAGGCCCUAUCACUCAGCCUUACAUCAAUAAUGCAGUGUAUAAGAGUCUAUAACUCACUCCUACAGUCACAACAACGGAGAGCAUAGGCUGAUGAAAGCUGGAGUUUCCUCUGAAAUUCAUAUGUACCAUUUCUAUACAGGCUUGAGGGAUCACUGUCAAGCUCUGAGAGAUUCACAAUCUGUGUUCACUGCACUUUGAACUCCUACAGCCUCAUGGAGUAACAGACCAGAUUUCAAAACGGCCUCUUGCCUAUUUAUUGCAGAGCAAUAAUCAUACAGCCAUCUGGCCAGCACAUCUUAUUUAUGUAUUUUAGUUUUAGUUUUUUUCUUUUUCUUUUUUUUUUAUUAGGAGAAGUGUGAAGGUGGUACCAAUUUUAGAAAAGCUGAGGAAUCCAGGAUGGCUUGGGCAUGUGAAAAGAAGACUGGAAGAAUAUAUGGGAAACGGUAUUAAUUUAGAAGUAGGAGAGUAAGAGAAGUGUUGGAAAAGAACUAGAUGGAUUGAUGUCAUACAAAAUAAUUUGAUUAGCUGUGGAGUUAUGAAGCACUGCUUCUAGACAGGCUGGAAUGAAGAAGGACUUGAAUAGCCAACCCCAUAUAGAUAGGACUAAGGCGAGAAGAAGAAGAAGAAGAAGAAGAAAUGUAUGUUUUAUCUUAUCAGUGUUAUCUGUAAUUGGCCUUCUGCCUGAACAGAGGCUGGUAUGGACAAUCUCAUAAACACUAAUGGAUUGAGUAACAACAUAUAUGAGUAGUCCCAUUGUAUCCAAUGUGCGUCAAGUUACUUACUCCUAUUAGUUUUUGUAAUAUUGAUGCCUAGGUGGUAUAGGGAGGUUUCUGUGAGGUUAAAUGGAAUGGGGAAUGAUAGGAUGUUUUUGCAGUUCACUUCCGUCCAUUAGAAUUUAGGGUGAUGGAGAGAAGUUUUCCAUUCCUUUCAUCCCACAGCAAAAAGGAGAGGGAAUGAUAUGGUCCAAAGACUGCAAACACAACAUAUGU